GACGAACGCUGGCGGCGUGCUUAACACAUGCAAGUCGAACGGAAAGGCCCUGCUUUUGUGGGGUGCUCGAGUGGCGAACGGGUGAGUAACACGUGAGUAACCUGCCCUUGACUUUGGGAUAACUUCAGGAAACUGGGGCUAAUACCGGAUAGGAGCUCCUGCUGCAUGGGGGGGGUUGGAAAGUUUCGGCGGUGGGGGAUGGGCACGCGGCUUAUCAGCUUGUGGGUGGGGUAGUGGCUUACCAAGGCUUUGACGGGUAGCCGGCCUGGCGGGGUGACCGGCCACCUUGCUGCUGCGGUACGGCCCAGACUCCUACGGGGGGCAGCAGUGGGGAAUAUUGCACAAUGGGCGGAAGCCUGAUGCAGCAACGCCGCGUGCGGGAUGACGGCCUUCGGGUUGUAAACCGCUUUCGCCUGUGACGAAGCGUCAGUGACGGUAAUGGGUAAAGAAGCACCGGCUAACUCCGUG
rnacentral:rRNA from 1 species